UCGCUCACAUUUCCUUAUCACUUUUCCAGCCCAGCUAACGAUGGUGAAUCCGUUGGACGGAGAACUGAUAAGGGCAUGUGCCUGA
rnacentral:pre_miRNA from 1 species